rnacentral:rRNA from 1 species
AGCGAACGCUGGCGGCAGGCCUAACACAUGCAAGUCGAACGAACCUUUCGGGGUUAGUGGCGGACGGGUGAGUAACACGUGGGAACGUGCCUUUAGGUUCGGAACAACUCAGGGAAACUUGUGCUAAUACCGAAUGUGCCCUUCGGGGGAAAGAUUUAUCGCCUUUAGAGCGGCCCGCGUCUGAUUAGCUAGUUGGUUGAGGUAAUGGCUCACCAAGGCGACGAUCAGUAGCUGGUCUGAGAGGAUGAUCAGCCACAUUGGGACUGAGACACGGCCCAAACUCCUACGGGAGGCAGCAGUGGGGAAUCUUGCGCAAUGGGCGAAAGCCUGACGCAGCCAUGCCGCGUGAAUGAUGAAGGUCUUAGGAUUGUAAAAUUCUUUCACCGGGGACGAUAAUGACGGUACCCGGAGAAGAAGCCCCGGCUAACUUCGUG